GAAAUGCGAUAAGUAAUGUGAAUUGCAGAAUUCAGUGAAUCAUCGAAUCUUUGAACGCACCUUGCGCUCCUUGGUAUUCCUUGGAGCAUGCCUGUUUGAGUAUCAUGUAAUCUUCAAAGUAAAUCUUUUGUUAACUCAAUUGGUUUCUACUUUGGUAUUGGAGGUCUUUGCAGCUUCACACCUGCUCCUCUUUGUUCAUUAGCUGGAUCUCAGUGUUAUGCUUGGUUCCACUCGGCGUGAUAAGUUAUCUAUCGCUGAGGACACUGUAAAAGGUGGCCAAGGUAAAUGCAGAUGAACCGCUUCUAAUAGUCCAUUGACUUGGACAAUACUUUUAUGAUCUGAUCUCAAAUCAGGUAGGACUACCCGCUGAACUUAAGC
rnacentral:misc_RNA from 1 species